AUUAUCUAUUAACAUCAAUGAACAUACAUAUACAUUAAACAAAUCUAAAAGAAUAUAUAUCUAAAAGAAUAAUAUGUUUAAAUUCAUUACCAGUGUGUAAUUUAUAAUUUAUGCAUGUUGAUUGUAUUAAUUAAAUAAGAUUUCAUUUGCCCUUAGGCGAGUGCUUUUGUUACAUCAGAGCCUACUCCAAGCUUAGCUGACAAAUGGUACUAUUACAGCAAGUAAUCAACAAGGGACAACAGACGACAGAUUACUAAAUAGGAGGAUGUAUUUGAGAUUUCAUUUUUCUGCCACAUUAGAAAAUUUUUGUCACUUGUGCUUGCUCUCGGCUGUAUCUGGGCUCUAACUAAUACUGGGUAACUUUGGAUUUAAUAUGAAUAAUAAUCUUUUGGAUCCAAUAAUGAUGAAUAAAACUCUACUUUUAUGGUUGGAA